rnacentral:rRNA from 1 species
AACGAACGCUGGCGGCAGGCUUAACACAUGCAAGUCGAGCGCCCCGCAAGGGGAGCGGCAGACGGGUGAGUAACGCGUGGGAACGUGCCCUUUGGCUCGGAACAACUCCGGGAAACUGGAGCUAAUACCGGAUAAGCCCUUCGGGGGAAAGAUUUAUCGCCAAAGGAUCGGCCCGCGUCUGAUUAGCUAGUUGGUGAGGUAAUGGCUCACCAAGGCGACGAUCAGUAGCUGGUCUGAGAGGAUGAUCAGCCACACUGGGACUGAGACACGGCCCAGACUCCUACGGGAGGCAGCAGUGGGGAAUAUUGGACAAUGGGCGCAAGCCUGAUCCAGCCAUGCCGCGUGAGUGAUGAAGGCCUUAGGGUUGUAAAGCUCUUUUGUCCGGGAAGAUAAUGACUGUACCGGAAGAAUAAGCCCCGGCUAACUUCGUGCCAGCAGCCGCCGUAAAAC